UACAGAGGUCUCAAGCGUUGUUCGGAUUCACUGGGCGUAAAGGGUGCGUAGGCGGGUUUUUAAGUCAGGGGUGAAAUCCUGGAGCUCAACUCCAGAACUGCCUUUGAUACUGAAGAUCUUGAGUCCGGGAGAGGUGAGUGGAACUGCGAGUGUAGAGGUGAAAUUCGUAGAUAUUCGCAAGAACACCAGUGGCGAAGGCGGCUCACUGGCCCGGUACUGACGCUGAGGCACGAAAGCGUGGGGAGCAAACAGG
rnacentral:rRNA from 1 species